ACUGUCUACAUUAGUAAUUCCCAACUUGGGUCCGAAAGUGAACUUUUGCUGAAGCGAAGUAGCUAACUGCUUCCAUGUGCAAGUGUGCUCACUGAUCCGCCUCCAGGGCCACCGCCAUGUCGAGCCGCGGUGGGAAGAAGAAGUCCACCAAGACGUCCAGGUCUGCCAAAGCAGGAGUCAUCUUUCCCGUGGGGCGGAUGCUGCGGUACAUCAAGAAAGGCCACCCCAAGUACAGGAUUGGAGUGGGGGCACCCGUGUACAUGGCCGCCGUCCUGGAAUACCUGACAGGUGAG
rnacentral:sRNA from 1 species